GACAGAGGGUGCAAACGUUGUUCGGAAUUACUGGGCGUAAAGCGCGUGUAGGCGGCUAAGUAAGUCGGGCGUGAAAUCCCACGGCUCAACCGUGGAAGUGCACUCGAAACUGCAUAGCUAGAGUCCUGGAGAGGAAGGUGGAAUGCUUGGUGUAGAGGUGAAAUUCGUAGAUAUCAAGCGGAACACCGGUGGCGAAGGCGGCCUUCUGGACAGUGACUGACGCUGAUGCGCGAAAGCUAGGGGAGCAAACAGG
rnacentral:rRNA from 1 species